rnacentral:rRNA from 1 species
CAGUGGGGAAUUUUGGACAAUGGGGGAAACCCUGAUCCAGCCAUCCCGCGUACUGCUGACGGUAUCUGCAGAAUAAGCACCGGCUAACUACGUGCCAGCAGCCGCGGUAAUACGUAGGGUGCAAGCGUUAAUCGGAAUUACUGGGCGUAAAGCGUGUGUAGGCGGUUCGGAAAGAAAGAUGUGAAAUCCCAGGGCUCAACCUUGGAACUGCAUUUUUAACUGCCGAGCUAGAGUAUGUCAGAGGGGGGUAGAAUUCCACGUGUAGCAGUGAAAUGCGUAGAUAUGUGGAGGAAUACCGAUGGCGAAGGCAGCCCCCUGGGAUAAUACUGACGCUCAGACACGAAAGCGUGGGGAGCAAACAGGAUUAGAUACCCUGGUAGUCCACGCCCUAAACGAUGUCAACUAGCUGUUGGGGCCGUUAGGCCUUAGUAGCGCAGCUAACGCGUGAAGUUGACCGCCUGGGGAGUACGGUCGCAAGAUUAAAACUCAAAGGAAUUGACGGGGACCCGCACAAGCGGUGGAUGAUGUGGAUUAAUUCGAUGCAACGCGAAAAACCUUACCUACCCUUGACAUGUCUGGAAAGCCGAAGAGAUUUGGCCGUGCUCGCAAGAGAACCGGAACACAGGUGCUGCAUGGCUGUCGUCAGCUCGUGUCGUGAGAUGUUGGGUUAAGUCCCGCAACGAGCGCAACCCUUGUCAUUAGUUGCUACGCAAGAGCACUCUAAUGAGACUGCCGGUGACAAACCGGAGGAAGGUGGGGAUGACGUCAAGUCCUCAUGGCCCUUAUGGGUAGGGCUUCACACGUCAUACAAUGGUCGGGACAGAGGGUCGCCAACCCGCGAGGGGGAGCCAAUCUCAGAAACCCGAUCGUAGUCCGGAUCGCAGUCUGCAACUCGACUGCGUGAAGUCGGAAUCGCUAGUAAUCGCGGAUCAGAAUGUCGCGGUGAAUACGUUCCCGGGUCUUGUACACACCGCCCGUCACACCAUGGGAGUGGGUUUCACCAGAAGUAGGUAGCCUAACCGCAAGGAGGG